rnacentral:rRNA from 1 species
GGGGAAUCUUGCGCAAUGGGCGAAAGCCUGACGCAGCGACGCCGCGUGAGUGAUGAAGGCCUUCGGGUUGUAAAGCUCUGUGGAGGGGGACGAAUAAGGGUUGGCUAACAUCCAGCUCGAUGACGGUACCCCUUUAGCAAGCACCGGCUAACUCUGUGCCAGCAGCCGCGGUAAGACAGAGGGUGCAAACGUUGUUCGGAAUUACUGGGCGUAAAGCGCGUGUAGGCUGCUCGGAAAGUCGGAUGUGAAAGCCCUGGGCUCAACCUAGGAAGUGCAUUCGAAACUUCCGAGCUGGAGUGCUGGAGAGGAAGGCGGAAUUCUCGGUGUAGAGGUGAAAUUCGUAGAUAUCGAGAGGAACACCGGUGGCGAAGGCGGCCUUCUGGACAGUAACUGACGCUGAGACGCGAAAGCGUGGGGAGCAAAC